ACCUGCGGCGUAUCCAGGCCCUCUGCGAUGCCGAGCCGAGCUGCAGCGCUCAAAAGCCGCCCAGGGGGUCAACCCGGCCGGGCGGGCCGUGAGCCGGCGGCGCUAGACACCGCAGCGAAGUUCCCCGCCCCGACCCUCCGGGGGCUCACCGGUGCGGAUCUCCUCCUGGUCCGUGCCGUUCACGUAGUCCUGGCUCACCAACGAGGCAAAGCAGGCCUGCGAGAGGGAAGCGCCAAGGAACCCGGCUCCGGGACCUCCGCCAGUCGCAGGGGAAGCCCGAGCUGCUAGGAAUUGUCCCCGAGCCCUGUUAAAUGGUAAAGAGAAGAAGAGAAAGCAAAGACAUCCUGCUCAGUGGGACCUCCUUCUCCAGCCCGCGCCCUCCCACGCCACCCGCCUUGAGAUUUGCGGUUUCCUUCAGAGGCCAUCCUGUAUGCAGAACUGGGGUAAUGGGACCUUCAGUGAUCUCAACUGCCAUAAAAAUUCUGAAAACCUUUCAAGUGAGUCCAGUAUCACCUCUCAGGAAUCUCCAUGAAGGAAUUUAUACAUUGUGGCCCGCACCUAGAAUACAAAGGAUUCUUUCAAUAGAAAGAAUGAUGAUGUAUCUUACAGUACUGUGUCCACUGUUGCCACACAGCGCUCCUCAACACUGUACUGGGACACAUAACCCAGUGCUGAUUAACAGAAAAGGGCAGUUCCCAUCAACAUUUUGCAUGUUUUUUCCGCAGGAGUGCCCCUCCAAGUUGCUUGGCAAAUACCAGCCUGAGUAGUGGCAUAGCUACAAACACUUACUAUGAUAAAAAAGAUCAUUUAUAUUGGUGUUUGUAGGUACUU